UUUUUGAAUAUAAUUUAAAGUAGGGCCUGCCCMCUGAAUUUUUAAAGGGCUGCAGUAUUUUGACUGUACAAAGGUAGCAUAAUCAUUAGUUUUUUAAUUGAAAGCUGGAAUGAAGGGUUUGAUGAGAAAAUUUCUGUCUUAUAAUUAUGUAUUGAAUUUUAUUUUUAAGUUAAAAAGCUUAAAUUUUUAUAAAAGACGAGAAGACCCUAUAGAGUUUUAUUAUUUAAAUAAUUUAAAAUUUAAGAAUUUAAAAUUUAGUAUUUUAGAAUAAUUUUAUUGGGGUGAUCGAAAAAUUUAGUAAACUUUUUUUAUUUUAAACCAUUAAUUUAUGAUUAUUUGAACCAUUUUUAUGUUUAUAAGAUUAAAUUACCUUAGGGAUAACAGCGUAAUUUUUUUAGAGAGUUCUUAUCGAAAAAAAAGAUUGCGACCUCGAUGUUGGAUUAAAAUAAACUUUUGGUGCAGAAGCUAUAAAGUUAAGUCUGUUCGACUUUUAAAAUUUUACA
rnacentral:rRNA from 1 species